rnacentral:tRNA from 1 species
UUUAUUAAGGUGUUCCCGCACAUGAAAAUUUGAUUUUCAAGGAGAUGCUCUCAUCUAAUAAAU